AUUAUAUUUUCUUUCCUUUUACUUUGUAGGUGUUUUGCUUGAAUGCUUGACAGAACAAACAUGGUGGAUUUUUUUAAGAUAUGAGAAUGCCUAAGAGCCAGUAUUUGUUUCAGCAACUACUUGAGGGCUUAAGCUUUGGCAUGUGUGAUUCUCAUCAAUUCUGUGAAAGUUACAAGUAAAUUUGGUGUCUGAAACUAGCUGUGUGCCCAAGCUUUGCGCGAUGAAUUUCCAGCCCACAGCAUAACACUAGCAGAAUUCCUAGUUGUGAUUUCAGUGCCCUUCAUGGACUUGAGUGAGCUGUUGACUUCCAUUUUCACCAUGAAGUACCUAGCAGUGAAUGCAAAACUGCAAACGCCAUGUCU